AUUGCUUCUCGGCCUUUUAGCUAAGAUCAAGUGUAGUACCUGUUCUUAUCAGUUUAAUAUCUGAAAUGUCCUCUAUCUGAGGACGAUAUAUUAAGUGGAUUUUUGGAACAGGGAGAUGGAAUGGGGCUUAGCUCCGUCCACUCCACGCAUCGACCUCCGGGAAUGGUGUACCAAAA
rnacentral:snRNA from 1 species